rnacentral:rRNA from 1 species
AUUGCCUCAGUAACGGCGAGUGAAGCGGCAACAGCUCAAAUUUGAAAUCUGGGACUUUUAGUUUCCGAGUUGUAAUUUGAAGAGGAUGUUUCGGUUGGGACCUGGGCCUAAGUUCCUUGGAACAGGACGUCGUAGAGGGUGAGAAUCCCGUACACGGCUCCCGGUCUCCUUCCAUGUGUAACUCCCUCGAAGAGUCGAGUUGUUUGGGAAUGCAGCUCAAAAUGGGUGGUAAAUUUCAUCUAAAGCUAAAUAUUGGCGAGAGACCGAUAGCGCACAAGUAGAGUGAUCGAAAGAUGAAAAGCACUUUGAAAAGAGAGUUAAACAGUACGUGAAAUUGUUGAAAGGGAAGCGCUUGCAAUCAGACUUGCCUGCGGUUGAUCAACGUUCCUUUUGGUUCGUGCACUCUGCCGUUUGCAGGCCAGCAUCAGUUGGUGCGGUGGGACAAAGGUUUCGGGAAUGUAGCUCACCUCGGUGAGUGUUAUAGCCCGUUGCGUAAUGCCACCAGCGCCGACUGAGGUCCGCGGUUCGUCCUAGGAUGCUGGCUUAAUGGUUGUAAGCGACCCGUCUUGAAACACGGACCAAGGAGUCUAACAUCUAUGCGAGUCUUUGGGUGUCAAACCCAUGGGCGAAAUGAAAGUGAACGGAGGUGGGAGUCUUCGGAUGCACCAUCGACCGAUCCUGAUGUUCUCGGAUGGAUUUGAGUAGGAGCAUAGCUGUUGGGACCCGAAAGAUGGUGAACUAUGCCUGAAUAGGGUGAAGCCAGAGGAAACUCUGGUGGAGGCUCGCAGCGGUUCUGACGUGCAAAUCGAUCGUCAAAUUUGGGCAUAGGGGCGAAAGACUAAU